AAACCUCCUGGGAAGCAAAUACAAAAAAAAUAAGGAAAUCUCUGCACUCUCAUUGUAUGCAGUCAAGAUGUGCCAUUCGUCCACCACCUCCAGCUCAAGCCAAGAGUAAAGCAUAGACGGGGUACCAGCGGUUCCGGAAGACUGAGCAGACUCACCGUCCAUGUGAAGAAUUUUACUCUGCUUUAAACUAAAGGUGUCUCAAGACUGAAACUUGGAGUGUCUAAGAGAUCUACCAAAGCUCAGGAAUAAAACAUGUAUCAUGUAGAACA
rnacentral:lncRNA from 1 species